AUGAACGCUGGCGGCGUGCCUAAUACCUGCCAGUCGAGCGAACAGACGAGGAGCUUGCUCCUCUGACGUUAGCGGCGGACGGGUGAGUAACACGUGGAUAACCUACCUAUAAGACUGGGAUAACUUCGGGAAACCGGAGCUAAUACCGGAUAAUAUAUUGAACCGCAUGGUUCAAUAGUGAAAGACGGUUUUGCUGUCACUUAUAGAUGGAUCCGCGCCGCAUUAGCUAGUUGGUAAGGUAACGGCUUACCAAGGCAACGAUGCGUAGCCGACCUGAGAGGGUGAUCGGCCACACUAGAACUGAGACACGGUCCAGACUCCUACGGGAGGCAGCAGUAGGGAAUCUUCCGCAAUGGGCGAAAGCCUGACGGAGCAACGCCGCGUGAGUGAUGAAGGUCUUCGGACCGUAAAACUCUGUUAUUAGGGAAGAACAAAUGUGUAAGUAACUAUGCACGUCUUGACGGUACCUAAUCAGAAAGCCACGGCUAACUACGUG
rnacentral:rRNA from 1 species